rnacentral:lncRNA from 1 species
CUCAGGAGGUCAUAUGGGUAGAACAGUACAGCACAGCUACAUUUCUUCAAUAUAUUGUCUUCAACAAAAGUCUGAGUAAAGGGUCACAACAUGUUCUGCAUCCUCAGACACACAGUUUACAUUACUCAUAUGGCCAGAGACCACCAAAGUAGUGACGUUCACUUCCUGUAUGGAAACCAUUUCGUGUGUGUGUGGGAGGUCUAGCCAGGUUUAGUCUUGAAACUUCACAUUCAUGUCUGACGCAGAAAUGAGUAAAUUGAGAUUAAAAUAUUCUUAUAUAUAAUUUACUCCUUUUUGUUGUCUUAGUAACAUUAAAGCUGUAGUUUAGAGUUGAAGAUUUCAGAAAGAGACAAAACCACAGAUGCAGAUACUCACUACUGGUAAGUGUGGUUACUAUAUUUAUCAGAAUGUAUGUGGUCUUUGAAAGGAUCCGAUUCUUUUAUGAUUCGUAUGCACUCGCAUUAGUUUGAUUCUGAUCUUGUGACAUCGUUUGUGUUAUUGCUUUUAUUUUGUCAGUCUGUGACUCAUUGUUAUUGCUGAAUAUUUUGGCUGAGAAACUCUUGAAAAGGGGAUUUCCUGGUAAACAAAGUGUGAAUAACAACUAAACUAUUCUGGUAAAAUACCAAUUACCUAAACCAUAUUUACAUUUAAACUUUCUGAGUUGACUAAAUACCCACAUAAACAUGUUGUUUACAAUGAAACUGUCUUUGUUUCAAGGUGGGAUGGAGGAUUUUUGUAAAUAUUUGGGCAUCAACAGGACCUUUUCUCUGAUAUGUUGCAUGUUCUGGAUUUUCUCACCAGCAGAAGGAAACACCAUCUCACAGGUGGUUGGCACCAAAGUGACCCUACCCUGCAAGUCAAACAGCUUGUUGGUUCAGCUGACAUGGAAAAUGGACAAGAAUACCCUGUUUACUUACAAGCCAAAGACACCUUUACACAACUAUUCAAUAGCUCUCAACCUGAGCAUAAGUAUGUCUAUGUCAGAGAGCCAAAUGUUCGCUCUGGUCAUAGAGAGAGUCCAGAAGUCUCAUACAGCAAACUACACCUGUGAAAUCACCACGUCCAAUGGAGUUGAAAAUCAGAGGUGGGAGCUGAUAAUAACAGAACGUGAAGAAGCUGGAAAUAUGGACAAGCUAGUGAUUGCUGUGGCAACUGUUGUUCCUUGUGUGUGUUGCCUGACCUUUGCAUUAGCUUUCAUCAUUCUGCAAAGAGUCUGCAAAAAACGUGCUGAGGAUCAGGAGGAAGAAGAAGAUAUUUAUGAAAACUGCCUAGAAGGUCGACGACGUGGCUAUAAUCAGCCUCACCAUAACAAACCCAGGGCUCACUGACAUGACGCGCAGUCCAAAGAGAGAGAAGAAAAGGGAAAGGGAGUACUGGAAGUGGGCACAUGUGUGAAACAGCUAAUUUUAUAGAAACAACCAUCUUUUCUAAAAAAUAAACUUUAUAUAAAAAUUGUAAAACCUGUUUUUUUCCAUGCAAUUUUAAACUGAUUUCUCUAUAAAUAUACUGUAGAUAGCCUAUUUAUAGCCUAUUUACAUAUAUCCUUUAAAAAAGAUACUGCAUGGGUCCAUGAAACAGAGCAGCUGUAUGCCAUACAGGAAUAAAACAACUGCUCUAUGUUCAAUAAAGUUGAUGGUUAUACUGUCACAUAUGCUCAAGAUUAUGGCCAAAAAAAUAACCAUAUCCCACUGUGAAAAGGCUGCCUUUCUCCCUUUUCACUAGGCCCUGUUCCCAAAAUUAAUACUGUUUUGCGUCUGCUUAAUUCUUAAUUUCACUGUAAUGUUGUAGGUUAUUGUUUUAGUUUGUUACUUUAUUAUUUGACAUAGGCCUGUUCGGCAGGUUUUAUGGGUUCAUAGUGUUUUGCUAUGGUUCUGCCUGUGAUGUGGGGGGGUAGAUCAGCUGCUCACUAGCUUAAUCAGGGAGAGUGGAUGGGGGUUUAGGUUUAGGUCCUUUUUGUAGGGAGGGGCUAAAGUAAAGAACAAUUGGUAAGAUAGUUCUGCAGUAAAUGACAUGUUUAUAAUAUUUGGGGUGCCUAUUGUAGUGGGUGCACAUAUAUGUAUAAAUAGUAAUGUCAGCAGUAACUGAUCUAUCCAAUUGUAAUGAUGUUUUGAGAGACUUAAGUGUUAAUGUUGCUUGCUCAGGUUAGCUCACCCUAUCACCUGUGCAGGUGGUAGGGGGGGCUGAGUUAAAAGGGCAUCAGGAGAAGAAAGAAGGGUUGGCAGUUUGCUGGGAGGUUGCCGUUUUGUUUGUUUGCUAUUAUUUUGCCUCAGUUUAAUAUUGUUUCUGUAUUUUGGUUUGAGUAUGUUUUGGUGUUGGUUUAGUUAAUAAAUACAGGAAUUGAGCACUGGAAAAGCCUCCUCUUCAGUCUUCAAUCGUGACACCC